AUUAGAGUCGUAUUUUCGUCAUAGCUAAAAGAAUUAUACCCAAAAAUGACUUUUAAUGCCUUACUAACAUAAGACAUCAGCAAAGUAACUGUUGCACAGCACGGAUAUAUCACUCUCUGUCUCUUUAUACAUACACAUUACACUAAGAAAUGUUGUAUGCCGAUGGGAGGUUAUUGUCAAAAGGGUCUAGCCGAAAAUUGUUGCUAUCCAAUGACCUGUAACGCUGAGUCAAAUUCGUGUGAAGCCAUGGGUGGCGUGAUAUUUUAAUUUUAU